UGUUGAAACACCGGUUCUCUAACGAUCACUGAAGUUAAGCAGCGUCGAGCCUGGUCAGUACCUAUAUGGGUGACCACUCAGGAAUACCAGCUGCUGUAA